AUGUCGGGCGUGGAAGAGAAGCCGGAGGAGAAUCUGCGUUCGAACCUUGCCCUCACAGCUCUUAGCAUCGUUCGUAACCACCAGUACUUAAAGGAGCUCGCUAUGAAGCAGCUCACGUUCCCCGAACUGGUGUGGAGCACGGACAAGAAUGAACUGGCCGCAAUGCACAAGGAAAAGGUCGAGGCGCUCACGGUCCACGACCCCAAGAGGCAGGCCCUCGUCGCCGGCCGCUUCUGCAGCUUCCACCUAGCCGGCUUCGACCUCGACGAAAAGUCAAGUGUGGAACUUGGGCCCCCUUACGACCCUGCUGUGAGGAAGGGGACGGCUUCAACCAUGAAUGUCAUUUCCUUGAGGGUGGUUAGAGUUGGUCCUGAUUACACAUACCCGGUUGAGGUUUACGGUAGGGUUAUUGCGAGGGAUGAGGUUGACUACAAAUGUGUCUACCUGUUCGACCGUCAAAGGGAGGAUGCCCAGCUCAUCAAUUCAGAGAAGGAUAUGUCAGCUCUAACAGGUCCAUACCGGCCAUUGGCUACUCGUGCUUUCAUGUGCUUUGAGCUCGAUUUAAAGAUCAAGGACAAGGGUGAGCAGGAUGCUGAAGUACAGCUCAGCAAAGGCGUAAUACCGUACCAUCACAACCCGUAUCACAAGCGCGUCAUCGACCAGCUACCUAGUUUCCAGAGCACGGUAAAAUUGGUACUGCAACAAGUGACAGGACCGGUGGCGGCGAGCCUCGAAGUCAGCGUCGUGAGAGAAGGGUCCGAUGACCCUAUUGUCCACUUCAACGGUAAAAUAACUGUUGGGACUACUAGAAAUUAUAGACAUCAUAUGGUUGUAUAUGAUAGCAGCGUGCCUAUUGGGAGAUUGGUGAGGGAAGAUGGCUCUCUUGUGUUAAGUCGCAAUCUAGUAACUGUCCAGGGGCCUAUUCAAGACCCCGCGUUCGCGGAUGACGAGCAAAUGAUGCUCUAUGUUUGUUUUCUUGAUGUGGGUUGUGAGAUUGAGGAUGAGGAUAUGAUUAGCCUUGAACCAGAGGAUGAGGAUGAUGACGAGAUUGAGCCUGACAAAGAGGAAGAGGAAAUCGAAGGGGAAGGGGAAGAGGAAGGCAAUGAAGAAGAUAGCGAAGAAGUGGAUGAGGAGGAGGAGGACCCUAAGAAUACUGUCACUCUCGAAUACCCUACACCUGAGACUGUGUGGGAACACGGUUCCCCCAAACUGAAGGUGAAGGUCGAUUGGACUGCCAUCUUUGAUCCGCCGCUGGAAUACUAUUUAACAAGAUGGUAUGCCCUUCCAAAAGGUUUUAAGUCGCCUAAUUAUCGAUUUGGCGGGUUCUUUGAGUGA
rnacentral:rRNA from 1 species